GUUCGGGUUUGGAGUGGCAGCCCCAGGGUUGAUAGAAAUAUCUCCUGGGGCUUCAUCUUU
rnacentral:sRNA from 1 species